UUCAAAUCUUGCAAUAGCUUGCAACAGCCAGCCUUGUGUCUCCAAAAACUGCUGGCUGUCCCUGAUACAAAAUCCUAUAGAGGAACAAAACAAAGACCAUGAGGACAUCAGGAUUAAGCAAGGACCCUCGAUGCAAUCUGGAUGGUGGACAGUGUCUCAGCGUAGUUCCCUGCGGCGGCUGAAAUGUGAGCUAUCAUUGUGGUGCGGCAGUUCAUAUUCCCCAAGGACUCUCGAAGCAACAUGUUCUUCUGUGCUGUUACCAAUGCCAAUACAGAAAUGCAGACCAGUGUUGGAGACUAACUGUGAAGGAGCCACUGCAGCAAACAUCUGCUGCCCUUUUCCAGUGCGUAGUGUAUAAGCAAACUUCGGCCCAGCUCUGAAGGACAAGAGGAUUUCUUCUUCCAUCUGCUCCGGUCACAUUGAAGGCAACCUGGUGUCUUUGAGAUGCAAACAAACAUCCAGAGAAUAUAUUGAGACAGUCUCACUCAUUCCACUUCUGACCUAAGGCUGCUUUGAAUCCACAGAUCCAGAGUUAAUAAGCUGCUGUAUCUCAGCAAAACAUGAGAUGACAGGGGAAAGGGCAAAAGAAAACAUUCUGAACACGCUGGUCUCCUGAGAAUACAUAACCCAUGCAGCCAGCAUCAGCACACUGCAGCAUGGUUCUCUUAGAGAGGCUGAAGACAGUAUUUCCAUAGCUCCUAGGUGUGUAACGGCUCCCAUCGCCACCACUCUGGUACCCAGCUCUCUGCUCUUCAGAACAAGCUGUACCAAAGGGAUCAAAGGGAGGCAGAAGGGCUGAUAUUUCUGACAGUAUGACAUAUGUUUUUCCACUGAUUUCAAAAUGAGUGAAGCUUUAUUUCUGCCCAAGAGUAUAAACUAAUAAUUUAGUCACCCCCGCUACCCCUCAAAAGAAACUCCUUGGAAAUUAAUUUUAAAUACAGCAGGUAGAACAGUUUUGCUGAGGGGGGGAUGAGACAAAAUACAGCUAAAACAGUUAAACCUGCUGUCUAAAAUUAAGUUUAGUGAGUCUUGUCACAUAUUGCUAGAAAGCAUGCUACCUGAUGGCAUUCAUAAACAAACCAAAUUUGAAAGAUCAAAAUCACUUUCCAAGCUCGCUCUGCAGCAGGGGAGCAUGUGGAUUUUAAUAUUUCAGAAGACAGCUCUCACCAGCCUGCUUAGUUCUAAAAAGUCAAUGCAUAUUUUUAAAAAUUCACUUCACAUCUGUUCAUUGUGUACCAGCCUGGAGGCAACCACCAGCCAGAAAACUUUGAUCAUCCAGCAGAAGCUAGCUGGUGGCUGAAAAGCACAAGAGGAUUGUCUCCAUUGCCUUCCUCUCAAACGUGUUAUGAAAACAAGAACUUCAGUAAAAAGUUUGUAUGGAGAAAAACAUCUUGCAGUUGCAAUGCCAUUUGAAUGCUAUUAGA